rnacentral:rRNA from 1 species
GAUGAACGCUGGCGGCGUGCCUAAUACAUGCAAGUCGAGCGAACAGAUAAGGAGCUUGCUCCUUUGACUUUAGCGGCGGACGGGUGAGUAACACGUGGGUAACCUACCUAUAAGACUGGAAUAACUACGGGAAACCGGAGCUAAUGCCGGAUAACAUGUUGAACCGCAUGGUUCUACAGUGAAAGGCGGCUUUGCUGUCACUUAUAGAUGGACCCGCGCCGUAUUAGCUAGUUGGUGAGGUAACGUCUCACCGAGGCAACGAUACGUAGCCGACCUGAGAGGGUGAUCGGCCACACGGGAACUGAGACACGGUCCAGACUCCUGCGAGAGGCAGCAGUAGGGAAUCGUACGCAAAAGGCGAAAGCCUGACGGAGCAGCGGCGCGUGAGUGAUGAAGGUCUUCGGAUCGUAAAACUCUGUUAUUAGGGAAGAACAAAUGCGUAAGUAGAUGUGCGCGUCUUGACGGUAACUAAUAAGAAAGCAACGGCUAACUACGUG